UACGUAGGGUGCGAGCGUUGUCCGGAAUUAUUGGGCGUAAAGAGCUCGUAGGCGGCUUGUCGCGUCGGAUGUGAAAGCCCGGGGCUUAACUCCGGGUCUGCAUUCGAUACGGGCAGGCUGGAGUUCGGUAGGGGAGACUGGAAUUCCUGGUGUAGCGGUGAAAUGCGCAGAUAUCAGGAGGAACACCGGUGGCGAAGGCGGGUCUCUGGGCCGAUACUGACGCUGAGGAGCGAAAGCGUGGGGAGCGAACAGG
rnacentral:rRNA from 1 species